rnacentral:tRNA from 1 species
GCCCCGGUGGCUCAGCCUGGUAGAUGCCACAAUGCACCAGUGAGCGUUGCCUUGGUAGACUCCUCAAAAAGGCAAAGGCCACGGGUUCAAAUCCCGUCCGGGGCU